rnacentral:lncRNA from 1 species
CCAGAAUAAAGCGUAGUGAAAAUUGUCACCUUUGGCUAGGUGGUGAUUUUAAUCUUGGCGGAAUUGAUUGGAACAACUACUCUAUAAAACAGAAGGCAUACAAUUCAAAACAAUGUCAACAACUUAUAGACAUAUGCCAAGACAACUAUUUGGAACAAGUCGUAACAAAACCAACACAUUACACGGAAACAUCACAGUCCACACUUGAUCUCUUUUUUACUAAUAACAGCUCUCUAGUAAAUAAAACUGAAGUCAUUCCCGGAAUUUCCGAUCAUGAAAUUGUUUAUAUGGAAUCCAACUUAAAACCUAAAAGAGCAAAAAAACCACCUAGAAAAGUUUUCCUAUACAAAAAAGCAAAUACUGAACAAAUUAAAGAAAAGCUAAAUGACAUACAUCUUAACAAUAUUAAAAACCUAGAAAAUCUUACAAUGGACGAACUUUGGGAUAAUUUCAAAACAAAGGUAUUAAAAACCAUGGAAGAGUCAAUCCCUACUAAAAUGAUUAAUAACACCAAACAAACUACCAUGGAUUAAUAAAGAAAUAAAGUCACUGAUUAGAAAAAGGAACAAAUUGUUCAAAAAAAUGAAAACAGACUCGCAUAGUAAAAUAAAUAAAAAGUACAGGG